rnacentral:rRNA from 1 species
UGGGGAAUAUUGGGCAAUGGGCGCAAGCCUGACCCAGCAACGCCGCGUGAAGGAAGAAGGUUUUCGGAUUGUAAACUUCUGUCCUAAGUGACGAAGGAAGUGACGGUAGCUUAGGAGGAAGCCCCGGCUAACUACGUGCCAGCAGCCGCGGUAAUACGUAGGGGGCGAGCGUUGUCCGGAAUGACUGGGCGUAAAGGGCGUGUAGGCGGCCGAUUAAGUCUGGAGUGAAAGUCCUGCUUUCAAGGUGGGAAUUGCUUUGGAGACUGGUUGGCUUGAGUGCGGAAGAGGUAAGUGGAAUUCCCAGUGUAGCGGUGAAAUGCGUAGAGAUUGGGAGGAACACCAGUGGCGAAGGCGACUUACUGGGCCGUAACUGACGCUGAGGCGCGAAAGCGUGGGGAGCGAACAGG